UACGUAGGGGGGCAAGCGUUGUCCGGAAUCAUUGGGCGUAAAGAGCGUGUAGGCGGCCCGGUAAGUCCGCUGUGAAAGUCGAGGGCUCAACCCUCGAAUGCCGGCGGAUACUGUCGGGCUAGAGUCCGGAAGAGGCGAGUGGAAUUCCUGGUGUAGCGGUGAAAUGCGCAGAUAUCAGGAGGAACACCGGUGGCGAAGGCGGGUCUCUGGGCCGAUACUGACGCUGAGGAGCGAAAGCGUGGGGAGCGAACAGG
rnacentral:rRNA from 1 species